UCGAGCGGAAACGAUGAUAGCUUGCUAUCAGGCGUCGAGCGGCGGACGGGUGAGUAAUACUUAGGAAUCUACCUAGUAGUGGGGGAUAGCUCGGGGAAACUCGAAUUAAUACCGCAUACGACCUACGGGAGAAAGGGGGCAGUUUACUGCUCUCGCUAUUAGAUGAGCCUAAGUCGGAUUAGCUAGAUGGUGGGGUAAAGGCCUACCAUGGCGACGAUCUGUAGCUGGUCUGAGAGGAUGAUCAGCCACACCGGGACUGAGACACGGCCCGGACUCCUACGGGAGGCAGCAGUGGGGAAUAUUGGACAAUGGGGGAAACCCUGAUCCAGCCAUGCCGCGUGUGUGAAGAAGGCCUUUUGGUUGUAAAGCACUUUAAGCAGUGAAGAAGACUCUUCGGUUAAUACCCGGAGACGAUGACAUUAGCUGCAGAAUAAGCACCGGCUAACUCUGUGCCAGCAGCCGCGGUAAUACAGAGGGUGCAAGCGUUAAUCGGAAUUACUGGGCGUAAAGGGAGCGUAGGUGGCUCGAUAAGUCAGAUGUGAAAUCCCCGGGCUCAACCUGGGAACUGCAUCUGAUACUGUUGAGCUAGAGUAUGUGAGAGGAAGGUAGAAUUCCAGGUGUAGCGGUGAAAUGCGUAGAGAUCUGGAGGAAUACCGAUGGCGAAGGCAGCCUUCUGGCAUAAUACUGACACUGAGGCUCGAAAGCGUGGGUAGCAAACAGGAUUAGAUACCCUGGUAGUCCACGCCGUAAACGAUGUCUACUAGUCGUUGGGUCCCUUGAGGACUUAGUGACGCAGCUAACGCAAUAAGUAGACCGCCUGGGGAGUACGGCCGCAAGGUUAAAACUCAAAUGAAUUGACGGGGGCCCGCACAAGCGGUGGAGCAUGUGGUUUAAUUCGAUGCAACGCGAAGAACCUUACCUGGUCUUGACAUAUCUAGAAUCCUGCAGAGAUGCGGGAGUGCCUUCGGGAAUUAGAAUACAGGUGCUGCAUGGCUGUCG
rnacentral:rRNA from 1 species